rnacentral:misc_RNA from 1 species
ACACGUUGAGCAAAUUAUUUCAUUUCUCACUCUUAUUGAAAAGAGUAUUCGUCGUUGGAUUGCUUUUUGGAUCUUUCUUCGUCUGAUUUCACUUUUUUUUUGUUGGAUUUCACUUUUUUUGGUUGUUUUCAUCGUACUCUUUGCAUCAUCAUGAUCAGGAUUUGUUCGGGUACCUCCUUGCCCACACGGAAAGGAAGAAUGUGAUGACGUGGAAAGCGAUGGGAAUAACGAUGGGAGGCAGGCUUGAUGCUGGUAACGCGGGAGUGGCGUACAGAUGCACGUUGGACGGGAAAGAGUUAGUGGCAAAGCUCUAUCCUCUACAGACGGAUAGUGUCAAUCUUCAAGCCCAGGCCGAAAUUCAAGCCUAUGGCCGCCUCACUCCUGUCGCCAAGAAGACACCCAAUUUUUCGCCUCUCAAGACGUCGGCUGUCGUCACUAAACUUCCCGAUUAAAAGAGUUGCUGCCUGACGAUGACAUGGAUCACAUGCUUGUUCUGGUGAUGGAGCAUGCCGGAACACAGUUCGGCCAGGGUUACCUGACGGCGGACGUAGCGACGAGCAUCCUACGUCAAUUCGUCUUGUCGACGAUGCUUGCAAAUGAAGCCGGGGUCUUUCAAAACGAUCCAAACUUCGGGAACUUGCUUGUGAAGGAAACCAAAGAGGACCAGCUGGUGUUCAAGAUGAAUCGUCAGAAAAUGAAAGUCAAGAGCCACGGAGUAUUGCUCACGAUCAUUUACUUCAGUCAAGCCACGAAUGUUCUGGAUCCCACCAGCCCACCACACGAAGACGUUGCAAGUCUGGCUCAGGAUUUGAAGGAACUUGCGACGUCCGUUGCUGAUCGUGAUAAGAUGGUGCAAACCUUUGGAGCAUGUGCCACAGCCACUUCAAUGCAGGACAUCUAUCCAAAUAGCGACUUGUUCAAGGACUGAUGGGAUCUUCACGACUCUGCUGCGAAAAAUUACUCGCUUAAUUCAACUUUCUGUGAUUUCUUUUUUAAUUCAUUCCUGUCAUACUCUAUUUAAAAUUUUUUC